CUUUUAUGGACCAAUUAAGAAAAUCAGAAGAUUUGUAUGUUCGACUAUGGAGGUAGAGGGUAAUUGCUGAAGGAACGACAGGAGACCACAAUUAAGUGUCCGAAUAGGUUGGCUCGCCAUCAAAGAAAAUCAAUCUCCCCUCAGGAAAAAAAAAAAACCUGACCUGUUUAAAAGGUCAGAAAUGCAUGACUGCAUUUAGUCAACAAUAGCAUCACAUCAGGCACGUGUGUAUUACCGCGACAUGCACGUGAAGCGUGCACGUGAAAAAGAAUGACACCACAUGAGAACAAAUGAACAGCGUUACGAAUUUGUAUCAUAAUAUACAAAAAUACAACAUAAAUCACAUAUAUG